rnacentral:rRNA from 1 species
ACUCCUACGGGAGGCAGCAGUGGGGAAUAUUGGACAAUGGGGGAACCCGUAGAUCCAGCCAUGCCGCGUGUGUGAAGAAGGCCUUUUGGUUGUAAAGCACUUUAAGCGAGGAGGAGGCUUACCUGGUUAAUACCUGGGAUAAGUUGGUACGUUUACUCGCAGAAUAAGCACCGGCUAACUCUGUGCCAGCAGCCGCGGUAAUACAGAGGGUGCAAGCGUUAAUCGGAUUUACUGGGCGUAAAGCGCGCGUAGGUGGCUAAUUAAGUCAAAUGUG